AUGGGAUCCCGGAGGGAACCCCGAUUAUUCCCGGGCGGUAAAAGCACGGGCCAGAUCAAGCCGGGGAAAUCGAGCGCGACGUUUGGACGGAUUCGUUGGGGGGGCAUCCCUGCCCUACCCGCGUCGUUUCCCCGGGGAAACGUUCCACGCCUCCAGGGGUCGGGGAGAGAAGCCACGGCUCGAGCGAGACCGCGAACGCAGCGACCGAAAGGCGGCGACGACCGGAGAGACGGACCGCCCCCUCCCUCCGGUGCUCCACCUCCAUGCUCCGUCCACCAGCGACCACAACGUCCGUGGUCGUCUUGCUCCUCCUUCCCCAGAUCUCCCCUCCUCCUCGAAGUUCCUGUCCCCUCCGGUGACGGCAACGCCGGCGGUUCCGCGGUCAACUUCCACCUACUUCGAUUAAGGGAAACUGAUGCCUGA
rnacentral:rRNA from 1 species